rnacentral:lncRNA from 1 species
CUAGGUCAUACUUUCGGAACUCUCUCAUGAUGUCAUUUUCCAUACUGCUCAGCAACGUAAUGCGAGCGAGAGAGUUCUUUUUCUUUCAAGUCUCAAAAGUUAUAUGGUCCCUCCAAUGUUGGGUCGUGUUCCCUUCUUCAAGUUCAUUCAUGGAUUCAUUUGAAGAGAACUUCAAGCACAUAUUGAAUUUUCAUACUCCAUAUCUCAUAAUUGUCACCAUUCAAUUUUUCUCCUUUGUUAAGUUCAGUGAUAAUAUUUUUUAAUCCAGAUGCCAUUUCUCUAUACAUAUUG